rnacentral:tRNA from 1 species
AGGAUUAUAGUUUAAUUUGAAAACAAUUAAUUUGCAAUUAAUAAAUAUUAAAUUUUAAUUAAUCUUA